rnacentral:rRNA from 1 species
AAUAGAUACCCUGGUAGUCCAUGCCGUAAACGAUGUCUACUAGCCGUUGGGGCCUUUGAGGCUUUAGUGGCGCAGCUAACGCGAUAAGUAGACCGCCUGGGGAGUACGGUCGCAAGACUAAAACUCAAAUGAAUUGACGGGGGCCCGCACAAGCGGUGGAGCAUGUGGUUUAAUUCGAUGCAACGCGAAGAACCUUACCUGGUCUUGACAUAGUAAGAACUUUCCAGAGAUGGAUUGGUGCCUUCGGGAACUUACAUACAGGUGCUGCAUGGCUGUCGUCAGCUCGUGUCGUGAGGUGUUGGGUUAAGUCCCGCAACGAGCGCAACCCUUUUCCUAUUUGCCAUCGGGUUAAGCCGGGAACUUUAAGGAUACUGCCAGUGACAAACUGGAGGAAGGCGGGGACGACGUCAAGUCAUCAUGGCCCCUACGACCAGGGCUACACACGUGCUACAAUGGUCGGUACAAAGGGUUGCUACUCCGCGAGGAGAUGCUAAUCUCAAAAACGCCGAUCGUAGUCCGGAUUGGAGUCUGCAACUCGACUCC